CCUACGAGGGGCAGCAGUGGGGAAUCUUGCACAAUGGGGGGAACCCUGAUGCAGCAACGCCGCGUGGGUGAAGAAGUACUUCGGUAUGUAAAGCCCUGUCAGCAGGGAAGAAAAUGACGGUAACUGACCAAGAAGCCCCGGAUAACUACGUGCCAGCAGCCGAGGUAAUACGUAGGGGGCGAGCGUUAUCCGGAUUUAAGGGGUGUAAAGGGAGCGUAGACGGCAAGGCAAGUCUGGAGUGAAAGCCCGUGGCUAAACCACGGGACUGCUUUGGAAACUGGGUGGCUGGAGUGCAGGAGGGGGAAGCGGAAUUCCUAGUGUAGCGGUGGAAUGCGUAGAUAUUAGGAGGAACACCGGUGGCGAAGGCGGCUUACUGGACUGUAACUGACGUUGAGGCUCGAAGGCGUGGGGAGCAAACAGGAUUAGAUACCCUAGUAGUC
rnacentral:rRNA from 1 species